AUUUGCCUCUUGCUGCUGUGGUUUGCACGUGUGCCUCCCCUCCACCCUCUCCAUCUGGCCUGCAAGAGCUCAGAGCCACAAAGUCCCAGAGUUGGAAGAGACUGCAGGCUAUCCAUCCUUACCCCCCAUAGAUGCGAGUUACAACUGCAACACCAAGCCAACGGGCCAUGAAACCUCUCCGGGAACAGUGUGGAGAACCUGCAAGGAAGGCAAGAGAUGGAUAUGGGAAGACCAGCAGACCUACUACACUGAAGAAGGCAUAGAGUUCUGUUUAUCUUGUUCCCUCCUCUAUUCCCAGGACCCAGCACAGAGCCUGGCACACAGUAGACUUUUCUCUGAUUGCUAUGAUGUCUCAUCGAUUACCAGCAGAUCAGCCAUACAGGAGUGGGAGUAGCAGCUAACAAUGACUGAGCACCUGACAGGCUCCAGGCUGAGUGCUCGGAAUAGACAGAAUCUUAUUGACACCCUUCAACAAUCCUAUGAAGCAGGCCCUGUUCUGAUCUCAUUACCUCUGCCCUUCCUGGUUCCUACUCCAUGAAAGAGCAUCGGAAGAUACCAACGUCAGAAAUGGCAAGUCCAGACACAGACCAAGUUCCGGGAUGCUUCUCCUGCUGCUCCUGUCAGCAUCUCCGCCACAGCCUCUUCCUGCUGCCCCAGGGACACGCCUGACUUUGAUGGACUGAAAGUAAUGCCCCAGCUUUACUGUGCCCUGGGCUGGGACUGCCACAGGGGCAAUGAGGUUUUCCUCCUGUGGUCGCCUUCCUGUUUACCUGACUGACUCAUGGGAGGUGACAGGCCAGCCUGGGGCUGGGAGUGGGGGCUGCCCCAGAUCUUACAGAAUGCCACGAGAGAGGAGCCUGCUCCUAAAUGGACUUAACUGGUCUGUUUUUUCAGAGCUCAGCAAUGUGGCCUGAUAAAGGACACAGUGAGGCCCCCAACAGGGCAGAAAGGAAAGGCAGGGAGAGAAC
rnacentral:lncRNA from 1 species